UGGACGCAAGUCUGAUGGAGCAACGCCGCGUGAGUGAAGAAGGGUUUCGGCUCGUGAAGCUCUGUUGGUAGUGAAGAAAGAUAGAGGCAGUAACUGGCCUUUAUUUGACGGUAAUUACUUAGAAAGUCACGGCUAACUACGUGCCAGCAGCCGCGGUAAUACGUAGGUGGCAAGCGUUGUCCGGAUUUAUUGGGCGUAAAGCGAGUGCAGGCGGUUCAAUAAGUCUGAUGUGAAAGCCUUCGGCUCAACCGGAGAAUUGCAUCAGAAACUGUUGAACUUGAGUGCAGAAGAGGAGAGUGGAACUCCAUGUGUAGCGGUGGAAUGCGUAGAUAUAUGGAAGAACACCAGUGGCGAAGGCGGCUCUCUGGUCUGCAACUGACGCUGAGGCUCGAAAGCAUGGGUAGCGAACAGGAUUAGAUACCCUGGUAGUCCAUGCCGUAAACGAUGAGUGCUAAGUGUUGGGAGGUUUCCGCCUCUCAGUGCUGCAGCUAACGCAUUAAGCACUCCGCCUGGGGAGUACGACCGCAAGGUUGAAACUCAAAGGAAUUGACGGGGGCCCGCACAAGCGGUGGAGCAUGUGGUUUAAUUCGAAGCAACGCGAAGAACCUUACCAGGU
rnacentral:rRNA from 1 species